UGAACGCUGGCGGCAUGCCUUACACAUGCAAGUCGAACGGCAGCACGGGUGCUUGCACCCUGGUGCGGAGUGGCGGAACGGGUGAGUAAUACAUCGGAAUGUACCUUGUAGUGGGGGAUAGCUCGGCGAAAGCCGGAUUAAUACCGCAUACGCUCUGAGGAGGAAAGCGGGGGACCUUCGGGCCUCGUGCUACAAGAGCAGCCGAUGUCAGAUUAGCUUGUUGGUGAGGUAAAAGCUCACCAAGGCGACGAUCUGUAGCUGGUCUGAGAGGACGACCAGCCACACUGGGACUGAGACACGGCCCAGACUCCUACGGGAGGCAGCAGUGGGGAAUUUUGGACAAUGGGGGCAACCCUGAUCCAGCCAUUCCGCGUGAGUGAAGAAGGCCCUUCGGUUGUAAGCUCUUUCGCAAGGAGAAACUAUGAUCGAAUAAAUCAUGAGGUUGACGGUACCUUGGAUAAGAAGCACCGGCUAACUACGUG
rnacentral:rRNA from 1 species